rnacentral:rRNA from 1 species
AUUGAACGCUGGCGGCAGGCUUAACACAUGCAAGUCGAGCGGGGGAAGGUAGCUUGCUACCGGACCUAGCGGCGGACGGGUGAGUAAUGCUUAGGAAUCUGCCUAUUAGUGGGGGACAACAUCUCGAAAGGGACGCUAAUACCGCAUACGUCCUACGGGAGAAAGCAGGGGAUCUUCGGACCUUGCGCUAAUAGAUGAGCCUACGUCGGAUUAGCUAGUUGGUGGGGUAAAGGCCUACCAAGGCGACGAUCUGUAGCGGGUCUGAGAGGAUGAUCCGCCACACUGGGACUGAGACACGGCCCAGACUCCUACGGGAGGCAGCAGUGGGGAAGAUUGGACAAUGGGGGGAACCCUGAUCCAGCCAUGCCGCGUGUGUGAAGAAGGCCUUAUGGUUGUAAAGCACUUUAAGCGAGGAGGAGGCUCUUUUGGUUAAUACCCAAGAUAAGUGGACGUUACUCGCAGAAUAAGCACCGGCUAACUCUGUGCCAGCAGCCGCCGUAA